AUGACCUUCACCCCUGGAAGAAUCUUGAAUAAGAAGUGAACAGAAGUUAAAAGAACUUGAAUUCAUCAAAAGAAAAGUUAAUAAUGCAGAGCCACAUGGCACAGUCAACAGCCUGUGCAGUUCUUCCCUUUCUGCUCCUCUCUGCACCAUAGAUAUUAGCUAUCUCUUCCUGCCAAGUUGUUCAAUCAUUUAGACUCUAAGCAGCUAUUUUGCAGCUUCCGAGUUGAAGUUUCACACCUUAAAAAUGCCUUCCAUACUUUUUAAUUCGCCUUUGAUUUUCUUCAGUUGCAGCAACAUAUCAUAAUGCUUCACUUCAUACAUCUGACUUCAUUUUAACUAGCUGUUCAUUUUAUGCUCUCUCUAGUGCUUCUCUUAGGUAACACUGUGAUGAAUGAAGCUCGUCGCACGGAUUCUGUACUGAGACCCAGCUGAAGCAGCUCACCACCCAGAGUCUCCUUGUGAAGGGUACAGGUGGCCUGAACAAGUGACCAAGAAAGGGCCUUCUUCGUACUAGAAAACUUCCCUCAAAAGCCAUUUUACUCUGAGAGUAAAAUAAACCAAUUCUGCGGCUUUUAACAAUAA